UACAGAGGGUGCAAGCGUUGUUCGGAAUUAUUGGGCGUAAAGGGUGCGUAGGCGGGUCUUUAAGUCAGGGGUGAAAUCCUGGAGCUCAACUCCAGAACUGCCUUUGAUACUGAGGAUCUUGAGUUCGGGAGAGUGAGUGGAACUGCGAGUGUAGAGGUGAAAUUCGUAGAUAUUCGCAAGAACACCAGUGGCGAAGGCGGCUCACUGGCCCGAUACUGACGCUGAGGCACGAAAGCGUGGGAGCAACAGG
rnacentral:rRNA from 1 species